ensembl:lncRNA
UGAGUACAAUCCAGAAAACAACAGAGGAGGAGUGCAGCAGCCCAGAGCCAGAACAACCAGAGUAGUAUGACCAAAGAACUACAGACUCUUCACAACCUGCUCAAACUCUUGGUACAGGACCUCACCACAUGGGUCAAGAAGGUUUCCAUCUCAUUUCUACUCUGAAGCUCACCUUCUCCUGCUCAAACUGCUGACAAAUGUUUCUGCUGCUCUAAAGUCUGGUCUCCAGAACUUCCUAAAAACUCUCAAAGUCUCUUCUGCUGCAGGUUGCUUUGUAGAACUGUUCCAGAAAACCUCACUAAACCACAUGGAGGGGCCUCAAGAUAGUCGUCC